UGGGGAAUUUUGGACAAUGGGCGCAAGCCUGAUCCAGCCAUGCCGCGUGCGGGAAGAAGGCCUUCGGGUUGUAAACCGCUUUUGUCAGGGAAGAAACGCGCUGAGUUAAUACCUCGGCGUAAUGACGGUACCUGAAGAAUAAGCACCGGCUAACUACGUGCCAGCAGCCGCGGUAAUACGUAGGGUGCAAGCGUUAAUCGGAAUUACUGGGCGUAAAGCGUGCGCAGGCGGUUGUGUAAGACAGAUGUGAAAUCCCCGGGCUCAACCUGGGAACUGCAUUUGUGACUGCACAGUUAGAGUGCGGCAGAGGGGGAUGGAAUUCCGCGUGUAGCAGUGAAAUGCGUAGAUAUGCGGAGGAACACCGAUGGCGAAGGCAAUCCCCUGG
rnacentral:rRNA from 1 species